rnacentral:rRNA from 1 species
GAUGAACGCUGGCGGCGUGCCUAAUACAUGCAAGUCGAGCGAACAGACGAGGAGCUUGCUCCUCUGACGUUAGCGGCGGACGGGUGAGUAACACGUGGAUAACCUACCUAUAAGACUGGGAUAACUUCGGGAAACCGGAGCUAAUACCGGAUAAUAUAUUGAACCGCAUGGUUCAAUAGUGAAAGACGGUUUUGCUGUCACUUAUAGAUGGUUCCCCGCCUCAUUAGCUAGUUGGUAAGGUAACGGCUUACCAAGGCAACGAUGCGUAGCCGACCUGGGAGGGGGAAGCGCCCCACCGGAAGUGAACCCCGGUCCAGGGCCCUACGGGAGGCCGCAGUUGGGAAGCUUGCGCAAAGGGGGGAAGGCUGAAGGAGGCACGCCGGCGUGAUGAAGAGAGGCCUCGGGUCGGAAAACUCCUUUAUUAGGGAAGACCAAAUGUGUAAGUAACUAUGCACGUCUUGACGGUACCUAAUCAGAAAGCCACGGCUAACUACGUG